rnacentral:rRNA from 1 species
AGCGAACGCUGGCGGCAGGCCUAACACAUGCAAGUCGAACGGACCCUUCGGGGUUAGUGGCGGACGGGUGAGUAACACGUGGGAACGUGCCUUUAGGUUCGGAAUAGCUCCUGGAAACGGGUGGUAAUGCCGAAUGUGCCCUUCGGGGGAAAGAUUUAUCGCCUUUAGAGCGGCCCGCGUCUGAUUAGCUAGUUGGGGAGGUAAUGGCUCACCAAGGCGACGAUCAGUAGCUGGUCUGAGAGGAUGACAAGCCACAUUGGGACUGAGACACGGCCCAAACUCCUACGGGAGGCAGCAGUGGGGAAUCUUGCGCAAUGGGCGAAAGCCUGACGCAGCCAUGCCGCGUGGAUGAUGAAGGUCUUAGGAUUGUAAAAUCCUUUCACCGGUGAAGAUAAUGACUGUAGCCGGAGAAGAAGCCCCGGCUAACUUCGUGCCAGCCGCCGCAGUAA